AUGUAUGUCCUAGAAGUCAAUAUGGUUGACACAUUGUAAUAAAUUUAGGACACAAUUUUACACUUAAUAUAUUGAUAUGAUCAAUAAAAUGGUAAGUUCUUUUUCAUUCAAAUGUGAUGUGUCCUUGAAUCAUCCAUGGAAUUAGUUUCAAUACAUAUUCUCAAGGUGUUGAGAAUUAGAGACAUGUAUUUAAUUCCUAAAUACUUUCGAUUAUAGAAUCAUCAUGAGGACGGUGAU
rnacentral:lncRNA from 1 species